UCCGGUUGAUCCUGCCAGUAGUCAUAUGCUUGUCUUAAAGAUUAAGCCAUGCACGUCUAAGGAUAAAUAUUUUUUAACCGUAAACCUGCGGAUGGCUCAUUAAAUCAGUUACAAUCUACUCUAUUGUAUAAAUUACUUGGAUAACCGUAGUAAUUCUAGAGCUAAUACAUGCAAAAAAUUUGAACUCGCAAGGGAACAAAUGUAUUUAUUAAGGAGCAAAAUCAAUACAGACCAUUCCAAACUCUAGAUUAUACUUUAAUCGGUAUUUUUUAGGGGGUUUGUAAAAAAAAAUUGAAGAAUCAUAGUAAACUUACGAAUCAUAAAUUUAAUUAUUUAUUGAUGAUAGGAACGAGUUUCUGACCUAUUAACUUUCGCUGGUAAUUUAGUGGAUUACCAUGGUUUUCAUGGGUAACGGAGAAUUUGGGUUUGAUUCCGGAGAAAAGGCCUGAGAGACGGCCAUUACUUCCAAGGAAGGCAGCAGGCGCGUAAAUUACCCAAUCCCAAUUCGGGGAGGUAGUGACGAGAAAUACUAGUAUUGGUCCCAACGGGAACAAUGAUUGGAAUGAGAACAAUUUAAAAACAUUAACGACUAACAAUUGGAGGGCAAGUCUGGUGCCAGCAGCCGCGGUAACUCCAGCUCCAAGAGUGUAUAUUAAAGUUGUUGCGGUUAAAAAGCUCGUAGUUGGACUUGAGGGAUUUAUAUAAAAGGAUUCUAGUUUUAAAGCUAGAUAUCUUUAUAUGUUUUUUCCUUUCUUUUUAUUUUCUUUUAAGAAGGGGCAACUCUUCUGUGGGAAUAGAUAGUUUACUUUGAAAAAAUUAGAGUGUUUAAAGCAGACAUGACAUGUACAAUUGAAUAUUACAGCAUGGGAUAAUAGAAUAGGACAUUAACCUUAAUUUUGUUGGUUUUGAAGGUUAAUAGUAAUGAUUAAAAGGGAUAGUUGGGGUCACUUGUAUUUGAUCGCUAGGGGUGAAAUCCUAUGAUUGCUCAAAGACAAACUACUGCGAAAGCAUUUGACAAGGAUGUUUUCAUUGAUCAAGAACGAAAGUUAGGGGAUCGAAGAUGAUUAGACACCGUCGUAGUCUUAACCAUAAACAAUGUCGACUUUGGAUUAGGAAAUAUUACAUGGAUGAUUUUCCUAGCACAAUAUGAGAAAUCAUAAGUAUUCAGACUCCGGGGGGAGUAUGGUCGCAAGAAUGAAACUUAAAGGAAUUGACGGAAGGGCACCACCAGGAGUGGAAUCUGCG
rnacentral:rRNA from 1 species